UGCCGGCGACCGGCGCACGGGUGAGUAACACGUAUGCGACCUGACCCCCCGCAGGGGGAUAACCGGGAGAAAUCCCGACUAAUACCGCGUAACGCCGCGGACCUGCAUGGGUCUGCGGCCAAAGGAAGCGAUUCCGGCGGGGGAUGGGCAUGCGGCGCAUUAGCUAGUCGGCGGGGUAACGGCCCACCGAGGCGACGAUGCGUAGGGGUUCUGAGAGGAAGGUCCCCCACACUGGUACUGAGACACGGACCAGACUCCUACGGAAGGCAGCAG
rnacentral:rRNA from 1 species